rnacentral:misc_RNA from 1 species
GGAGGAUCUAGAGAAGUGUCACAUUUGAGUUGCCAUGCGAUCUCAUUGCCUUUUCUUAUGAUUAUGAUUACUCAAUAACCUUGCGUUGUGAGAGAAAAUGAUCCAUAUUCUUUGGAUCUACUCUGUGCUGGGUGAAGCAUGGAUUCUCAUGAAGUACCCUAGGACAAUUUUGGUUAAAUUUUUCUGUGAAGUUGUUAAUGACAUGGAAAAUCCCUGGAAUAUCGCCUACACUGGUAAUGUAAGUACUGUACUAUGCAAAACCAAAAGACCACUUAUUUUAUUGAGC